rnacentral:rRNA from 1 species
AUACGUAGGGAGCGAGCGUUGUCCGGAAUUACUGGGUGUAAAGGGUGCGUAGGCGGGACUGCAAGUCAGAUGUGAAAUGCCGGGGCUCAACCCCGGAGCUGCAUUUGAAACUGUGGUUCUUGAGUGAGGUAGAGGUAAGCGGAAUUCCUAGUGUAGCGGUGAAAUGCGUAGAUAUUAGGAGGAACAUCGGUGGCGAAGGCGGCUUACUGGGCCUUUACUGACGCUGAGGCACGAAAGCGUGGGGAGCAAACAGGAUUAGAUACCCUGGUAGUCCACGCUGUAAACGAUGAUGACUAGGUGUGGGGGGACUGAACCCUUCCGUGCCGCAGUUAACACAAUAAGUCAUCCACCUGGGGAGUACGACCGCAAGGUUGAAACUCAAAGGAAUUGGCGGGG